GUGUCAGCAGCCGCGGUAAUACGUAGGUGGCAAGCGUUGUCCGGAAUUAUUGGGCGUAAAGCGCGCGCAGGCGGUUCCUUAAGUCUGAUGUGAAAGCCCCCGGCUCAACCGGGGAGGGUCAUUGGAAACUGGGGAACUUGAGUACUGAAGAGGAAAGCGGAAUUCCACGUGUAGCGGUGAAAUGCGUAGAGAUGUGGAGGAACACCAGUGGCGAAGGCGGCUUUCUGGUCAGUAACUGACGCUGAGGCGCGAAAGCGUGGGGAGCAAACAGGAUUAGAUACCCUGGUAGUCCACGCCGUAAACGAUGAGUGCUAAGUGUUAGAGGGUUUCCGCCCUUUAGUGCUGCAGCAAACGCAUUAAGCACUCCGCCUGGGGAGUACGGUCGCAAGACUGAA
rnacentral:rRNA from 1 species